UCCGUAGCCGGCUCUUCAAGUCUCUUGUUAAAUCCAGCGAUUCAAUCGUUGGACUGCAGGAGAUACUGCUGGGCUAGAGGGCGGGAGAAGCCGACGGUAUUCCCGGUGUAGGGGUAAAAUCCUAUAAUCCCGGGAAGACCACCAGUGGCGUAGGCGGUCGGCUAGCACGCGCUUGACGGUGAGGGACGAAAGCUGGGGGAGCGAACCGGAUUAGAUACCCGGGUAGUCCCAGCUGUAAACGAUGCGGGCUAGGUGUUGGAGCGGCUACGAGCCGCUUCAGUGCCGCAGGGAAGCCAUUAAGCCCGCCGCCUGGGGAGUACGGCCGCAAGGCUGAA
rnacentral:rRNA from 1 species